rnacentral:rRNA from 1 species
UACGAAGGGGGCUAGCGUUGUUCGGAAUCACUGGGCGUAAGGGGCGCGUAGGCGGCUUUAUAAGUCGGGGGUGAAAGCCUGUGGCUCAACCACAGAAUUGCCUUCGAUACUGUAUGGCUUGAGACCGGAAGAGGUAAGUGGAACUGCGAGUGUAGAGGUGAAAUUCGUAGAUAUUCGCAAGAACACCAGUGGCGAAGGCGGCUUACUGGUCCGGUUCUGACGCUGAGGCGCGAAAGCGUGGGGAGCAAACAGG